rnacentral:rRNA from 1 species
GACGAACGCUGGCGGCGUGCCUAAUACAUGCAAGUCGAACGAGAGCGACCGGUGCUUGCACUGGUCAAUCUAGUGGCGAACGGGUGAGUAACACGCGGGUAACCUGCCCAUCAGAGGGGGAUAACAUCCGGAAACGGAUGCUAAAACCGCAUAGGUCUUCGAACCGCAUGGUUUGAAGAGGAAAAGAGGCGCAAGCUUCUGCUGAUGGAUGGACCCGCGGUGCAUUAGCUAGUUGGUGAGGUAACGGCUCACCAAGGCCGUGAUGCAUAGCCGACCUGAGAGGGUGAUCGGCCACAUUGGGACUGAGACACGGCCCAAACUCCUACGGGAGGCAGCAGUAGGGAAUCUUCCGCAAUGGACGCAAGUCUGACGGAGCAACGCCGCGUGAGUGAAGAAGGUUUUCGGAUCGUAAAACUCUGUUGUUAGAGAAGAACAAGUGCUAGAGUAACUGUUAGCGCCUUGACGGUAUCUAACCAGAAAGCCACGGCUAACUACGUG